CUUAUCGGGCAAAAAUCUUCGGAGCAUUCCAUACCAGUUCGGUUGUUUCCGUAGAUCGAUUGCAAUAUUCCUUCGAAGGCAUAACUGGCAAAAUAAUUAUGAAAUCUUAGACCGCAGAUCUGCGCAUUGAAUAUACUAUUUGCUCACCGGAAGUAGCUCACUGAACUGAAGAACCGGAGGUAACUCGGCACCUCGUUCAGCUUGAGGAAAAACCCAGCGAACAGAAACAUCGGAAUGUUGAGAGCAGGGACAAGAAAACAUCCGGCCUGGAAAGCGAAUACGACAAAAUUUACUUCUCGUUCCAAUAAUUUCUUAUCCUACGAGGAAAAACGUGCAUCUCAAAUUGAGGAAAAAGUGUCGAAUCGGCGAAAAUUACGUGAGUAUCGAACGCUGCACCGGUGACGAUGCCAAGGGAUUGUGCCACGACCGUAAUGAGGACACAAAUCAGCCAAACCCUCACGAACCUCUCGCAUUCGAGCGGCUGCCCAGUCAUGAAAUAAGCGAUAACGAGGAAGCACGUGGGGCAGACUAUCUGGAAAAAUAAUGCGAGUAAUAAACAGUUCGGGAGGUUCAAAGAUCCUGGGCAGCUCGGUAACUAUCGUCGGAGUCUCGUUACCUGAAGAGGAACAUCGGUCACGACUUUGGCGAUGUAGUAAGAGCUCAGACCGUACCAAUUGUUGAGAUGUUCUCUGAGAAAAACGGCAGCCUCAACGGGAACUGUUGAAACAAAAAAAGAAAUGACAAGCAAUCACGAAACAGCGGACUGCCUUAACCGGAAAUGAAAAUUUCCAAAAUUUCGAGGCUCGCGGUUCCAUUUUUCUCGGGCCUCGGGCACCAGCAACGGUUUGAGAAGCGAUGCUUACACAUUUGAACUGCUGGCAUCGAAUUUGCGAAGAAUAGAAAGAGCAGGAAAAAAAAUAGGCAAGCUACGUUGCUCUGGAUCUUGGCGGAAUCGUUGCCAAAGUUGUAGAACACGAGGCCGAGGAGUAGAGCAACUAUUAUGUGAGCGACGAGUCUCAAUUUCGUCAUGGUCUGAAAGAGCCAAAAGAAGAAAAAAGCAUUUUUUCCGUCCAAUUUUCGGAGCACGUCGAAGAUUUCGGAUUACUGGAAUCCACGACGUCGGCGACGCCGUUCAGUCUUCGGGGAAAUCUGUGACGGAGUUUCGAAUCUCUGCAUUUGGAGUUACCGAUUUCGCAGAGUCUCUCGAGAUCCCCUUCUCGCUGGCCGGUGACAACUUCGAUUACUGUGAAAAAAAGCUGGACAGGCAAAUUUGGCUUGCAGAAAAGUCUCAACGAUUUCUUCCCUGGGACCGCAGUAAAAGUUCCUCCCUCCAGCGAGCACGAGGAUGUCGUCAAACUGUUCGAUCAUCUGGCUGUUCGGUUGGUGAAUCGCACAUACGACGGUGCAGCCACUUUUUGCAAUGUUCUUCAUCAGACCGACCACCUUUUAUCGGACACGGUGCGAGAGGAGAGUGAAAGUCCAAAAAAAUCACCAUUCCAUGAAAAGGACCGCUGUAAACACUUGGGUGUGAAAAAACGAACCUGAUUGGACGCGAGGCUGUCAAGGCCACUGGUCGGCUCGUCCAGUAGCAUCACCGCAGGAUUCGUGACUAUUUCCACACCGAUGGAAAGCCUCUUUUUUUCGCC